GACGACGCUGGCGGCGUGCUUAACACAUGCAAGUCGAACGAGUGGCGAACGGGUGAGUAACGCGUAUCAACCUGCCCUUCAGAGGGGGACAACUACUGGAAACGGUAGCUAAUACCGCAUACCAUCGGAUGUGCCCAGAUGGGAUUAGCUAGUGGGUGGGGUAAAGGCUCACCUAGGCGACGAGCCCUAGCUUGUCUGAGAGGAUGACCAGCCACACUGGAACUGAGACCCGGUCUAGACUCCUACGGGAGGCAGCAGUGGGGAAUAUUGCACAAUUGGCGCCAGCCUGAUGCAUCCAUGCCGCGUGUAUGAAGAAGUGCUUCGGGUUGUAAAGUACGUUCAGCGGGGAGUCGUUACCCGCAGAAGAAGCACCGGCUAACUCCGUGCCAGCAGCCGCGGUAAUAC
rnacentral:rRNA from 1 species